GGCUAGGUAGUGGGAGGGACUUUGCCGGCGACGGAGGAAAAUGAAUGGGGGAGAGGCUGCCGGGGGCGGGGAGGGAGGAGCUGAGAGCCGGGGUAGAUUCCAAAGAGUGUUUUGUACGUCUUCAGGCGGUGGGGGAAGAGAAGUGGGGCCGCCUGAAGGGAGGGGCGGACUGGGUGGGCCAAGGAUGAGCUUCAGGGGAACUCACAUGAGUCUGGGGACAGUGCGGCGAGUCUCCUUACGUGAGCACCCCAAAGGAUCGUAUGCGCGCAGAUCCCGAAUCGUGAUUCUAGCUGAACCGGGGGGACUACAUUUCUCCUAUGCAAACAACUAUCCUUAUGAUGAGUGGUGAUCCUAUUUGACAGAGCCCAAAAUUCAUUGCAGAAUCAUCUGUCUCCUGGGAACAUAUCAUCUACCUAGGUAAGAUGAGUGCACCUCAAAUGCCUGUUUUUUAAAUAAUCCUGAAUCU
rnacentral:lncRNA from 1 species